rnacentral:lncRNA from 1 species
GAACUCCAUCAGGAGUGCCCCGCUUCGAGAUCAUGUCAAGGGAAGGGGAUAACAGGAAGGCAAAAGUGAAAAUUCAUACGUGUCUCGCUCUGGUUGCCGAUAGCUGGAAUAAGGCACUGCUCUGCUGUGAGCGGCGGGGGGACCGGCAAGGCCGGUCAAGACCGUUUCCCCGUGGCACCUUCAGGAGAGUAGUCGCGGGUCGUCUCGGUGUAAUUGCCUGACGGAGCCGCAUAUUUCUCGAUGCGUUUUCUGUGGAAGCAGGAGAACUUACAUUUGUCAGCUAUUUCAGGGAGGAUGUUUCCUGGGUUGUGCUGGCGAGGGGCAAGACCGCCGUGCGGUCCUUCGGGGCAAAAGCGGUUUGGCGAUAGAACAACUCCUUUUCGUGUUCCUUCGCUUUGUAGAAUGAGAACGUACAUCGCUUAUAGUGGUCAGUGUUUCACUCCCGCCCACCUUUUUACAAACGAGGGAAAAUGAGGGCGGGAAUCAGCGGCGGACAACUAUGCGUGGAUCUGUAUGGGGAGGAUGCUCGUUGGAACUGUGAAGGAUGCGUACGCACAUCGCGACGAAGGAGACUCCCGGGACGGGCAGACGUAACUUACCAAGGCUCUUCUCUGGGACAACGCAGGUAUUCUCCAAGCCGAGCGUCACUCGAGAGGAGCCUUCCCACUCUACCGUCCAAAAGAACGCAGCCCGCCUGCGAGUAGAUUGGAGGAACGCUAUAGAAGCGCCUCCGCAAUCAUUUACGGAGAAAAGAAGGAGAGUUCCUUCCGAUUCUGUGCUGUUUCACCAGGUAGUACAAUAGUGUUUGGUCUACGCUUCAGAGACCCCUCGAACUGCUGGUGGAACCAACUGUGCCUCCGGAUGCCUCGCUCGAUUUUGAGGGUAAAGACAUAGAAAAAGUGGGCGUAACAAAAGGAUGCGGGAAAAGAAUUCGCGGAGACGACGAAGCAGAAACGAACAGCGAUCGUCCACGACGCCGGCUUAACGCCUUGAUUUUCGAUGGACUAUGAACGAGUAGAUCCCGCGUGAGAAACUGGCAGCUCGUUUGGUAUCGUAGGCUACGGCGAACAGUCUUGAGAAAUUUUUGUUUGCUCAUAGCCCUCAAUCAAGCAUCAAUAUGGAAUCCAGGUAGUGAAGCUGUGCCCUCCUUCACUGCAUACGUGACAGGAAACCACGGCCCAAAAAAAUCGCUGAGUUGUCAAUUUUUCAUCGACCUACCUGCAGCCGUCCCCUCAUAUGUUUUGCGAGUUCUGCACCACUGUUGCCAAGACUUUUCCCGCCGUAUUUUCAGGGCAUGAUCCUUGACAAUACCGAAGAGAUGCUUGUUCAAUGUCACCAUAUAUAGAUUAUAGAGAAUGUUAAAACGAGGGACAGAGAUCCGUUUUAUGCCACUGAUCGGAGAUCGACUCAGGCCCACGAGGGCGUGACGACCUGUAUUGACACGAGAAGACCCAUACCAACUAAGCGUAAGGAAAGAACGACUUGUUUUAAAGGAUAGCGUUAACAGUGUAUAGCUUAACAACCGUUGCGGCGUCAUAGCGCAUGCACAUCGCCGAACAACUAUAUAUAUAUAUAUAUAUAUAUUUAUAUACACGGGCCUGUAAUAACGCAUGUACACGUACGAUAGUCUGCAUGCUUGCAAAACAAGAAGCAUACUUACAUAUGCAUAUGUACGUAGGGAGCUGUCGGAGCAGCAUGCCAGCAAGAAGAUCCAGUUCCUCUCUCACCCGAAAGAAGAGUUUGCGGCUGUCGAGCAAGAAGCCAACUACCCGUUGCGGGGGCGAGACGGUAUCAAAAUACAGGUCGCUUCGGGUUGGUAAGCGUGGAAUGUGCCAGGUGCGCUGUUCGUUUCCAGAGUACAGGCCGAUCCCGUACUUUCUCUCCUACGAAUAGAGUUUCAAAUUUUUGAGAAAAGAGUGAACCUUCGACCGCGACAUAGGCUGUAUCGCCACGCAGGUUGGGAUCCCUUCGGGCUGUUCGAUCCACAGUUUGUGGCGAAGAUCUUUUGCGUCGAGAGCCUCGCUGACCUUUCUAAGCUCCUCUUCGCCGUGGACCUCCAGAACGACUUUCCGCAUGCUGUCACCUUCUGCAAGGACUUAUGUGGCUACGGUUCGCGACUACGGCGUGUAAGAGGGAUGCGAAUAGUGUUUGGGGGAGGAAGCCGGUGGACUCCGUGUGAUGCCGCUUACCAAGCAUGACAUGCCUGAGCAAUGACUGCUCCUGCGGGCCAUCCCAGGAGAGUCUGCAGGUCUUUCCGGAGCACAACAUACUGAACAAUCGGGUCUGGGCGGCCUGUUUUUCUCUUCUCUUUCGCUCCUUCGGCUUUCGCAUUUUCCUCUGUUACACCGCUGAUGCCCGUUCGUUUCGCGCUGUGGUCCGUCUGCUGGUUCUGGGCCCUGGAACUCUGUUUCUCGAGUGCGCUACCGGGUGCCUCACUCGAAAGGGGACAGAGCUUCCCGUCCGAAGUGUCCAUUCUGGAACGCCUUCUGAGGAACACAGCGAACUGCCGUGCUUCUGUGACUGUUUCCACUGUUUCAACUGAACCGGCAGGCGGUCUGAUGGUACGCGGAUGCUUAGGAUGGCCCACGGGGAGUGACGAAGGCAACACGGAGGUCUGAGGCGGGUGUGACGGCAUGUGACAGUACACGAAGAGCCUGUUCCAGACUACCCGUUUCGUCGACAACCCGAAACUACUCGAGAGGUGAAACGGAAAAG